rnacentral:rRNA from 1 species
GACGAACGCUGGCGGCGUGCUUAACACAUGCAAGUCGAACGGAGAGGCCUGCUUUCCCUUGUGGAUUGCGGGUACUCGAGUGGCGAACGGGUGAGUAACACGUGAGUGAUCUGCCCCCAACUUGGGUAUAAGCCUGGGAAACUGGGUCUAAUUCCCGAUAGGACUGCAGGGUGGUGCCUGUGGUGGAAAACGAUUUUCUAGUGGUUGGGGAUGAGCUCGCGGCCUAUCAGCUUGUUGGUGGGGUAAUGGCCUACCAAGGCGGCGACGGGUAGCCGGCCUGAGAGGGUGGACGGCCACAUUGGGACUGAGAUACGGCCCAGACUCCUACGGGAGGCAGCAGUGGGGAAUAUUGCACAAUGGGCGGAAGCCUGAUGCAGCGACGCCGCGUGGGGGAUGACGGCCUUCGGGUUGUAAACUCCUUUCGACCGCGAGGAAGCCACCUGGUUGGAAGGGUGGUGACGGUAGUGGUAGAAGAAGCACCGGCUAACUACGU